AGGUGGCUGGGUGGGUUUAGGAGCAGUGACAGAUGGCGGUGGUGAGGGAGCGCGGCGAGCGGCUGGAUGGCUACAGUGUUUUCGUCAGCACUGGUCAGUCUUGCCCCACACAUUCUAAGUUUAUGUAUUCCCGGCAGCUUCUCCCUACACCGAGCACCGCCUAAGCAGCACCAGAGAGGCACGACUAUGCAAGUGCAAGGUAAAAAUACUGAAGCUUCCUCUCUUCAUCUCUGCCGCUGCCACUCAUCCCAAGGCCACUUCAACAAAACGCCUCAUCUCUUCUCUUCAUCUAGCACAGUCUACGAGUAUCUUGCCUCCCUUCACAAUCUCCAGGCCGUCAUUCUGCUACUCAAUCUGACAUCUACACGACGCGAGAGGAAGUGACUUUGGGAGACGCGUCGAAAUAUUAGUCUGCACUUGAGAUGUGGGAGUUUUUGGUGUGUUGUGUUUUACCUUCAUUUCUUCGUAAAGGCUCAAGAAGGAAGAAGAAAAAAGCAACACACCUGCUAUCUACUGUAAAGCGUCAGAACAACAAAUCAACGUGAAAGAUGGGACGAGGACGAGGAGGAGGAAGAGGAGGAGGAGGAGGAGGAGGAGGAGGAGGAGG